GCGAGCGUAGCCAAGUGGUUAAGGCAGUGGGUUGUGGUCCCGCCAUUCGUGGGUUCGAGUCCCAUCGUUCGCC
rnacentral:tRNA from 1 species